GCCUGUGGGGCUCCAGGGAAGGGGGUGCUGCCUUUGGCAUCCUCCUCAAGCCCAGGAGCUGAUAGUAAAGGUCUUCUCGUUCAUUCUGCUCUGCUGGAGUGAAGACUGUUGCCAAACCGGAGUGCUUGUUUUUAUUGUUUUUCUAGAACAACGGGAGGGACUGUUAUUACAAAUGUUCUGGAAGAGAGGAUUGGGAAGCGAAAAACAGAUUCCACAGCAUCUUAAAAAUAGCCAGUAGCAUGUGAAUUGCUUGACUAGCAAGGCAAGGCUCUUGAUGUGUCUGACACAUUUGUGAACCACUGUUUGGCAACCAGUCCCACCAUUGCGCAGCUUCCUCUGGAGAGAAUAGCCAGCACCCCUGGCCAACUCCCACCUAGGCGGGAAGGAGUCUGGGAUGCCGUGCUGUGAGGGUGGACACACAGCUCUGAAAGGAAAGAAAGGCGAGCUCUGGCCAGAAGCCAGCCCGGGAGAUGCACUUCUGCCAAGGGAUGUGUGCCCCCUGCUCUUACAGGCUGCGCCCAGCACUGUCACCCCAAACUCGAGGCAGCGAGACCAGCACCCAGAAGGGACAGACAGGGAGAAGAUCAGACGGGGUGUUAGGGAAGGAGAGGCCGCGUGAGCAGCAGGAGACCUCGGAGGCAUUCGGAGACACACGGACGAAUCCUGCUCUUGGAACAAAAUGAAAUCCUCGAGUAAAGAAAGGCUUCUCCCGGCCCCAGCCCAUCUCCCGUUCCCAGCGCGGAUGUCAUUCUGUCACUUGGAGCAUGACCCCCACGGGCCCCUGCUGGCGCUGCAUUCUAGACUAGACAGCGAUGGUGAGGGUGCCACACAGCAAACACGGGGCGUGGAGUCAGCCCGGGAAGGAGCCUGAACACGCGCUGAACAGAGUCCUGAAGAAGGAAAAGUGACUCACCCAAAGUCCUGCGGCCAGACUUUCAGAGCUGCAAUUUAUUAAGGGCUCUGGGGCCCUGGCCCUCUGUGCGAUUCUGAUGGUUUGACCCGUAGCAGCAUUAUGGGGUAGACCCCGUGGUCCCUCCGUUUGACAGACAAGGCACUGAAGCUCAGAGAGCCCGAGACACUUGCCCACAGUCGCACAGCUCAUUGGAGCCUCGGGCGGUCUCGCUGCAGAGCCCAUGCUCUAGUAACACCAGGAGCUAAGGCCACGUGCCCUGGUCCCCGGCUGUGCCCUCCAUCACCCGCAAGCCACCCCAACUAGCAGACCAGCAGACGGUAGCAUGGACGGCUUUGGUGGCAUUUACAUAGCGUGUGGCCCCAUCCUCUGAGGAGCCUCUCUCCCAGACUGAGGCUGUACCAGCAUCUUCCACCCCCUGGAAAGAUCCCGGUCCAUCUUCAGUUUGCAAAACCUAGUGCUCACAUGCCCACCUCCAGUGGCCGACUGCAGAAGAGAGUUAUCUGAAUGCGCGCGGAGCCUACACCAUCAUGACAGCAUGCGUCUCUAAGUCUCUCUUGUCCGGGGCCCGAACUCACCACUCCAAGAUCGAGAGUUGCACGCUCCACCAACUGAGCCAACCAGGCGCCCCCCAGCGGUAUGGAUCAGAAGUGGCCCCGGUGUCCAGGGACUGGCGGUCCCCGAGGCCAAGAGCUGCAGCGAGCCGGGGACCAGGGCGUUGGGCCAGGCCAGGGAGAGAGUCCCGCUGUGGCUGCCCUUCUCUUGGUGCUGGCUGCCUGGGCCCGUGGUCGGAGCUCCCCAUGGCCCCCCCCCAAGACCGUCGCCCAGACCUGGGGCCCAGCAGGAAAGAGGAGAGGUGCCAGGCAGUUAACAAGGAGACGGAGAAACGGUCUCAGGUUGGAGAGUCAGGAGACAUGGCAACACAACACAGGAGGGGUCCUGCACCCCCAAAAUGACUGUAGGUGAAGAUCUAGGAAAUUGGGAUCUAGUCUACAGGAACGUUAACGGUAUGGUACUUACCACAGUCAGUGUCCUGGUUUUGUAAUCCUACUAUGGUGAUGCCACAUGUCAGCACUGGGGGGAAGCUGGGUGUGCUAUGGAAAAACUCUUCCAUAGCUCUAAAAUUAUUUCAAAAUAAAGUGUUUAAAAAUUGUGUGUUUUUCCUCAUGAGAAUAAAAGGAGGUACUGCCUUUCAUAUCUUGGGACCUCAUAAACUCAUUUUGCCAGACUGCCUUAUAUUUCCUAAAUUCUUUACUGCUCCAGUUACUCAGGCCAAAAACCUUGGGGUCAUCCUCAACUCCUCUCUCUCUCACAUCACACCUUCAAACAUCAGCAGUUCCCUUGGUUUGGCCUUCCGAUGACAUAUCCGGAAUCUGGCCACUUCUGACCACCUCCAUGGCCCUCUCUCAUUCCUCGCCAGCCUCCCUGCUCUCCAUGCCCACCCCCAAUCAUGCCAGAUACACGCACACCCCAGGGCCUUUGCACUAACCGUGUCUGUGUCACUCUUUCAGAAAGCUGCACACCUCACGUCCAUCCACAUGGAUGGAUCCUACUCAGUCCCAUUUCAUCAUUGUAGGGAGGCCUAUUUUCAAUCAACCCCCCACCCUACACUUCAGACCUCUUUAUUUUGCUCUAUUUUCUUUCCAUAGCACUUUCUCCUUCUAACAUAUAAUUUAAUAUACUUAUUGAUUAUGUUUAUUGUUUGCUUCUGUUUUCCUCCUGCUAGAAUGUACACCCCCCGGGAGCAGGGAUUUUUUUCUGUAUUGUUCCCUGCUAUGCUCCCAGCACCCAGAAUAGUACUUGGCCCUCAGUAACCAUUUGUUGCGUCACAUGCAGUCAUUUCCUCUCCGGGGACAAGCAUGGGCAAACUGUCCACAGAACUAUUCUUUUGUAGGUGUUUGUUCUUCUAGAGCAGAAAUAUGUCUGGCUACACGCUCGCUGUCCAGCCAAUGCCAAAACAGAAAUGGGGUCUAUUCUCAGGCAGUGGCAUUUGGAAACGAAGACACUCAGAUGUGAGUUUACACAUCUCCACCAUCUGUGUAGCUCCAGAUAGAUUAUUUAAUCUCACUGCGCCUCAGCUUCCUCAUCCACGGAAUGGGGAUUAAUAAUUCCCGCGUCAUCGUGUUGUGGGAAGUGAAUACGACUGAAUGUAGGCGUGCAUGUCAAGCCAUCAGCAUACAACAAUGUCGAGCACGUAAGAGGUACUCAGAGAAUGUGAGCUAAAAAUGCAUUUGCAAAAGGUAACUGUUUAAAAUUCAAAAUGCAUUUUUUUCCCAGAGAAUCAAUGAAAAAAACUGGAAAAAAUGAAAAAUUCCCUAGAGCGUCUGAGAAAAUUUGGUAACAGAACUGAGGACGUAUAAUCGGCUCAAAGCUGGUAUAGUUCAGUGAACAUUUACUGAGGGCCAGCCAGAUGCAGGCCACUGUACCAGCCACAUGCCGGCCACUGUACCCGUGACAGGUAGGACUGACUUCUUAAGCAGGGCACAAUUUUGUCUACCUUCUGGCUCUGGACUCAUCAAGAGGAGUAGAAAUCAGUUGUCAGCGCUCAAAGGACACUUAAAUGCCCAUCUUUCCAGGUGGGCAAGCUGAGACCUGGAGAGGGUGUAAAUAAUUUGCUCAGGGUUACACAGCUGCUCCUGUCCAAAAUUGUGUUCCUUUUGAUGUUCGCCAUGACUGUAUCAACGACUAUUAGAUGGAAUAAAAUGUCUUCUUUGCAAUA